AACGAACGCUGGCGGCAUGCCUAACACAUGCAAGUCGAACGAACCCUUCGGGGUUAGUGGCGCACGGGUGCGUAACGCGUGGGAACCUACCAUCAGGUUCGGAAUAACAGUUAGAAAUGACUGCUAAUACCGGAUAAUGUCUUCGGACCAAAGAUUUAUCGCCUUUUGAUGGGCCCGCGUAAGAUUAGGUAGUUGGUGGGGUAAAAGCCUACCAAGCCGACGAUCUUUAGCUGGUCUGAGAGGAUGAUCAGCCACACUGGGACUGAGACACGGCCCAGACUCCUACGGGAGGCAGCAGUGGGGAAUAUUGGACAAUGGGCGAAAGCCUGAUCCAGCAAUGCCGCGUGAGUGAUGAAGGCCUUAGGGUUGUAAAGCUCUUUUACCUAGGGAUGAUAAUGACAGUACCUGGAGAAUAAGCUCCGGCUAACUCCGUG
rnacentral:rRNA from 1 species